rnacentral:rRNA from 1 species
CCUACGGGUGGCAGCAGUGAGGAAUAUUGGUCAAUGGACGAGAGUCUGAACCAGCCAAGUCGCGUGAAGGAUGACUGCCCUGUGGGUUGUAAACUUCUUUUAUAAGGGAAUAAAACGAGGCACGUGUGCCUUUUUGCAUGUACUUUAUGAAUAAGGAUCGGCUAACUCCGUGCCAGCAGCCGCGGUAAUACGGAGGAUCCGAGCGUUAUCCGGAUUUAUUGGGUUUAAAGGGAGCGUAGAUGGGUUGUUAAGUCAGUUGUGAAAGUUCGCGGCUCAACCGUACAAUUGCAGUUGAUACUGGCAGUCUUGAGUAGAGUAGAGGUAGGCGGAAUGCGCGGUGUAGCGGUGAAAUGCUUAGAUAUCACGAAGAACUCCGAUUGCGAAGGCAGCUUACU